UGUCGCGCCCGAGCUAGGGUUCCGGCGAGCUCUCCCGGCCGCCCGCCCGGUAGAGGGGGCCGCGUCAGGGGCUCGCUCCCCGGUCGUGCCAUCCCACUCCCCUGGGGGAACCCGCCUCCGCUCCCAUCUUGGUGAGUUCAGUUCAGUUCAGGAGCCCCGCCCCCCUUCCUCCCUCGCCGCUCGCUGCCCCGGGGAUCCCUCUCCUGGCCUCAACCCGGCGCUGCUGCUGCUGCUUCCCGGAGCUCCUUUUGGUCCUUUUCUUAAUUCGGAAGCGGUGAAGAAUAUGCGAUCAUGAAUGCUGCCAUCACACAGAUAGAUUCAUGCCUUUCCGAGGGUCGAUGCUUGGAUUGUUUACUUAGUUUGCUGCUUGGUUGGUUGAUUGAUGGCUUGGAUCAGGGUGCAGACCUUGGCAUGCAUGUCCCAUCUCUCUAACGGGAGUUAGCAACCGUGAUGGCAAACGCUGGCAAACGGCAGGCCGCGCCUGGGGUGAUGGAUGAGACAUCCACACCGGAUUAGACACUGCGUCGCAGAACUUAGUGAAAUUUUAUAAGAUAUUCUUUUUUCUUCUACAAUUCAUCAUGUUUAGCUACUUGCCAGUUCAGCAUAUGUUCAGACAUUGUUGGAUUAAUACUACCGGUUUGCCUUUAGCUACGUGUUGUCCCCUUCAGCGCUCACGAGCAGAGGCAUCAAAUUCAUAUCACGGAUGGUUGGUACAUACUUCUCUUUUGCUGUUAUUGGUUGCCACUCAUUCCAUAUCAUCCUAUAGCCAUCGUGCAGUUCUGACUCUAUCAGGAAGAUUUGUAGAUGCAUUUGAUGCUGACCGGAUACAACGAUGAAUCCAUUGUGGGCAUGUUUGUUGGAACACUGGUCGACCAAUUUACAGAUGAGAAGGAAGUGGUAUUUCACAUAUAAUUAUUAUGCAGUGAAGUGGGUUGCUGGUUCCUGAAUUUAUGCCCAGAUUUAACAGUGACCGUCAUUCAAUUCCGAUCCAGGUUGAAUCAUUCAAAGAGAGCAAAUAAAACUACACAGGAAAGCAAGUACAAGGAACCAGGGUAGUGUUGUUUUCAGUUAGAAACUUUGAAGUACAUGGUGUGAUUGACACUACCAUUGAUGGAUUAGUUAUUGCUAUUCGGAAAAUCACCAUCCUGCUAGCUUCUCAUAUGGAUUCAUCUUCCCCGCGAAAGUACAUGGUUGAUUGAUGAACUUGAUCUUGGUGGUUGUUUCAGAUCUUGAACUUGAUCUUUAACGUAAUUGAUGAUUUGUUCUUGUAGCUUGACUGUCUGUAGCGUACUGUGUCAAGGAAGAAGAUGCAAAGCAGGACUCGUCGUGAAUACAACUAUGUGAGCGUGAUGUAACGCCUCUUUCAUUUUCUUUUUAUCUGCAGUAACCUGAAUCAAACAAUGUAUUCUUAGCACCAACUAUAAUUCUGAAGGAGAUUAAUGAGAAUAUUGAUCCCAAGAAA